rnacentral:misc_RNA from 1 species
GCAAACUUGGUCAUUUAGAGGAAGUAAAAGUCGUAACAAGGUUUCCGUAGGUGAACCUGCGGAAGGAUCAUUACUAAGGUAUGCCAGGCGGCUGAGGCCGCCGGUUACCCGUCCUUGUGUUAAACGUACGGGCCCCGCAACCCUGACCAGGACUGCGGGGUACGAGACUACAUUUCGGCCGAAGCGUUGCGCGCCGUCCGCGUCAUGGCGGGGCGUGCGACCGCGGCCGGUCGUAUUCCAUACUCUGAGGAAAGAAUGAAGUCUGAGAGAAUGAAAAUAAAGCAAAACUUUCAACAACGGAUCUCUUGGCUCUGGCAUCGAUGAAGAACGCAGC